CCAGUUCCACCCCGUGUGGUACCUCCUCCACCUUUGGUAACUUUCCUGAAUUUUUCUUUUCCUUUUUUUUCUGAAGUUCAUGGUUCAAUUAGUCACUUUGUUUUUGCUUUUAGAGGAAUGAUAACUCUUUUUUUUUGUUAAUUUCAGUCGAAGUAUCAUGAUUGCGGCAAGGAGAAAACUCCACAACUCCUUGAAGACUCCCUCUCAUAUGAUUUUGUCAACCUUAUAAAAAAGUUAUCAGUACGUCAAUGCAAUCAUGUCAAGUCUGGUUGAUGUUAAUAAAAGCUCAUCUAACUGCAUUAUUUAUCUUUAGGUUGCUAUAAAUCCCGAGUUGAAGUCAAGGAUGUUAGUAAAAGCUCAUCUAACUGCAUUAUUUAUCUUUAGGUUGCUAUAAACCCCAAGUUCAAAUCAACAAGGGUGUUCUCGAUGAAAAAGAAGGCAAGAGAAAUCAAGAGAGAAUUUUUUUCCGAGCUCAAGAAGACGUCUUUGGGCGACAAAUUGCUCACCUAUAAUGGAAGGGAGAGUAUUCAGGAUGAAGGUUCACCUCCUGGACCUAAGGAACCAG
rnacentral:lncRNA from 1 species